CGGGGUGUAGCGCAGCCUGGUAGCGUACUUGCAUGGGGUGCAAGGGGUCGUGGGUUCAAAUCCCGCCACCCCGA
rnacentral:tRNA from 4 species